CAUUUGGGGGUUUCUUGUGCGGAAAUGGUGACGGAGACGGAGGAGUAGGGUUAGGGUUGUUAGAUUUGGGGUUUUCUUAUUGGAGAGAAAUGGAGACGGAGAAGAAGAAGAUGAAGCAGAUUUGCCAAAGAAAGAGUUGUAUCUCCGGUGGUGGAUGAUGGGUUUAAAGUAAUUUUGAUUUUGUUUGGUAUCGUAGUUCAAAGUUGAAUUUUAAUGUUCUUUCCUUGUGUUCUUUGUUUUGUUACAGGAAAUCGAAGAUUCAUGUCCCGCCACCAUUCCCAACUACUUGUUCAUCCCCGCCGUCACCUCCGCCACCGUCUUCCUCCUCGCCACGCUCAAUAAGUUAUGACUCUACUAAUUGUUAGUUCCUUUCUAACAUUGCUUAAAGUUUCACUCUUUGAGGUUAUUUAGUAUACACAAUGAACUUAUUUUGUUUGACAUAAUGCCUCAAUGUGAAUUUUGUUUCUGAUUCUAGAUGUUUUAUGAAUUAAACUUAUUCGUUUAUGAGAAGGAAGCUAAGGAGAUGUUAAAGAUAGAAAAUUUGAGGGUCUUGACGUCAAUAAAGAAGAUUUGUUGGAUCAAUCCCUUGAUGUGCUCUAUGAGAAAGAGUUCGAUGAGAGAUUGGCCUUCAUUGUUGCCGCAUUCAACAGGGACUUGCAGCAUGAGUUUAUAGAAAAGAGGUUGAGUUUUUUUGUUUUUUUAGGAGGCAUAAAAUUAAGAGAAAGCACGGAAGAAAGUUACUUCCACCAAAGAAUGCAACUAACAUAGAAGUUAAAUCCAAAUGUGUUAUAACCCCUUAGCAAAGUGAGAAGCUGAAAAGAGUGGCUUCGCUACAAGUAAGAAAGGCUUAACCUUGAAGGAGAACAAACUUCCUAUCACAAUGCUAAAGUUUGCAAAGGUACUAGAGGAAAUCAUCAUCAUUGGUUGAAUGUGAAACUCCUUGCUCCCCUUCUUAGCUUGGGAUCUUGAUCAGCUGCUCCAAAACACAAACAACAGGAACAACUUGACCAUGGGCGGAGGAAUAAGGAACGCUAGUAAGGUUUUAAGAAGUUUUUUCUUUUCCCCUUAUGAU